ACAGCAAGGAGGAGGGAAGGAAAGGCCUUGGGAAGAAAGGCAGUUGUAAAUCUUAUCUGGAUUGAGACUGGAGAUAAGGGUGAACUGCCUGCAAUUGUUUUUUGCUGAAGUCAGUAACUGGCAAUAACAUCACUUGUUUAUAAAAGUGUAUAAAAAGUAAACUCUUCAAGGGUUCAUUGUUACUACCUGCCUCAUCACAUUAGAGCCAACCAACAUGGGUCAACCAACAUGGGUCUGAACACUCCUGGCUUUAUCCCAUUUUUUUUCAGGAGAUCCAUCAGGAGACUACAGCUUUCUGCCUUUCAUUUUCUCAUCUGAGCAGGUGAUGAGUUCCCAAGUGGUCUCUGUGCUGGCUGAAAUCCCAGACAUCUGGGUGUGAAAGGCUUCAGAGUCCCAAUGAGGGCAAUUUCAAGUUCAUGCUACCCUCUUAGUCUCCCAAUUUAGCCUGGCCAGUUGAAUCAUAAAAGAAGAAGGAGGAAGAGGCUCUGAGGUGGCUGGGGGCUAUUGUAUGCUUAGGGGACUGCAGGACAUGUAGAGAUCAACAUUGGUGUCUACUGGUCUUGGGCAGAAGGUGAAUGAAAAACAUGCAGGAGCCAUUGCAUUUCCAGGAUGCCAGAAGAAACACCAGCCUGUGACACACACCAGAGUGACACAGAUCAGGGAGAAGAGACCAGAGACAAUAGAAAGGACUCAUCACAGAAGUGUCAGGGACCUGGAUCCAGCUGCCAACACCAUUCAGGAGACAUCUCCAUUCUGGGGAGCAUCAUGGGACUACACAUCAGACUGGGAUGCAUUCCCUGUUGUUCACAGAAAGACAAUUUACAUGUGGAACAAGUUCAGGCAUAUUUUCCCCACUUGAAGGAGUGUAUCAGCGGGGGUGUGUGUGUGUGUGUUAAUAUUUAUCCUCAUGCGCUGAGCCACAGAAAUUCUAUUUGGUUUCAUUGCUUAUGCUAAAUUUUGCCCUUCUUUGUUCUGAAGAAAGUGCUCAAGACUGUGAGAUUUAUUGAACUAAUGACAGUGUUUAGUGAUCGAUUUAACCAACCCUCCCUACCACCAAACUACCAGUCAGAAAUAUGCAUCAGAAGGGGGAGACCUCUGUGACCUCUGGUUCCUUGAUGUUCACCAUGAGUGAGGCCCGUUCUACAUGUAAAUUGAGAGAAUUUGAUAUGGAAGCCACUGAGAAGCACUAAAUGGAACCUCACAAUGCCAUGUUUAUGCUUACUUCUCUGAGGUUAGCUACACUUUAAGGGGUUUAUUUUCAGAACUGUGGCUUCCCUGUUUUGCAGGUACAAGUCUGACCUUCAUUUUUGGUCAUUUGACAUUUGACUGGCUGCAUCUCUAGAUACAGGCAUUAAUUAGCUAGGUAGAGGUACAUCUACCCAGAUUUGCACAUGUGGUCCAUUUUGCAGGCACUUGAGUCAGGGCACAAACCUUCAGCCAUAGAGGACAGGCCAUAGCCAAGCUGCAAAUAUAUCCCCUAAAUUUGGUUAAGUCUAUCCUCUUGUGGCAGGUCCAUAAA